rnacentral:rRNA from 1 species
AACGAACGCUGGCGGCAGGCUUAACACAUGCAAGUCGAACGGGCAUAGCAAUACGUCAGUGGCAGACGGGUGAGUAACACGUGGGAACCUUCCUAGGGGUACGGAACAACUCAGGGAAACUUGAGCUAAUACCGUAUACGUCCGUGAGGAGAAAGAUUUAUCGCCCUUAGACGGGCCCGCGUCGGAUUAGCUAGUUGGUGGGGUAACGGCCUACCAAGGCGACGAUCCGUAGCUGAUCUUAGAGGAUGAUCAGCCACACUGGGACUGAGACACGGCCCAGACUCCUACGGGAGGCAGCAGUGGGGAAUCUUGGACAAUGGGCGCGAGCCUGAUCCAGCCAUGCCGCGUGAGUGAAGAAGGCCUUAGGGUUGUAAAGCUCUUUUACCAGGGACGAUAAUGACGGUACCUGGAGAAUAAGCCCCGGCAAACUUCGUGCCAGCAGCCGCGGUAAAAC